CGAGCGGUAGAGAGAAGCUUGCUUCUCUUGAGAGCGGCGGACGGGUGAGUAAUGCCUAGGAAUCUGCCUGGUAGUGGGGGAUAACGUUCGGAAACGGACGCUAAUACCGCAUACGUCCUACGGGAGAAAGCAGGGGACCUUCGGGCCUUGCGCUAUCAGAUGAGCCUAGGUCGGAUUAGCUAGUUGGUGGGGUAAUGGCUCACCAAGGCGACGAUCCGUAACUGGUCUGAGAGGAUGAUCAGUCACACUGGAACUGAGACACGGUCCAGACUCCUACGGGAGGCAGCAGUGGGGAAUAUUGGACAAUGGGCGAAAGCCUGAUCCAGCCAUGCCGCGUGUGUGAAGAAGGUCUUCGGAUUGUAAAGCACUUUAAGUUGGGAGGAAGGGUUGUAGAUUAAUACUCUGCAAUUUUGACGUUACCGACAGAAUAAGCACCGGCUAACUCUGUGCCAGCAGCCGCGGUAAUACAGAGGGUGCAAGCGUUAAUCGGAAUUACUGGGCGUAAAGCGCGCGUAGGUGGUUUGUUAAGUUGGAUGUGAAAUCCCCGGGCUCAACCUGGGAACUGCAUUCAAAACUGACUGACUAGAGUAUGGUAGAGGGUGGUGGAAUUUCCUGUGUAGCGGUGAAAUGCGUAGAUAUAGGAAGGAACACCAGUGGCGAAGGCGACCACCUGGACUAAUACUGACACUGAGGUGCGAAAGCGUGGGGAGCAAACAGGAUUAGAUACCCUGGUAGUCCACGCCGUAAACGAUGUCAACUAGCCGUU
rnacentral:rRNA from 1 species